rnacentral:RNase_P_RNA from 2 species
CGAGCCAGCUAAACAGUCGCCGCUCUGAUUUUUUCAGAGGGGAGGAAAGUCCGGGCUCCAUCGGGCAAAGUGCCAGGUAACCCCUGGGAGGCGCGAGCCUACGGAAAGUGCAACAGAAAGUAUACCGCCUCAUUCGUGAGGUAAGGGUGAAAGGGUGCGGUAAGAGCGCACCGCGCUUGUGGUAACACAAGUGGCACGGCAAACCCCACUUGGAGCAAGGCCAAAUAGGAACCCUCGUGUUCACACACAACGUGAGGCCCUCACGUAGGGUUCGGGUAGGCCGCUUGAGGUGAACGGCGACGUUCAUCCUAGAUAGAUGACUGUUCACGACAGAACCCGGCUUAUCAGCUGGCUCUUCAU